GCCAGUGCAGCAGAGUCAUUUUACAAUCUGCUGGGCCUGACUCCCAUGGUUUGGGGGACAUUUCUGUUCAUCAGCACUGGGUUUAAGAUUUGUGCAGCCCUCAUCACAGUCAGGACGCAAAGCGGUUUCAUCACUCCAAAAACUCCCUCGGGCCAUCCCUGUGAAGUUCCACCCUCCCCUCAUCACUCACUCUUGGCGCCCACUAAUCAGUUCUUCAUCACAAGAAUUUUGUCUCUUCCAGAAUGCCUUAUGAAUGGAACCCUAAGGGUAUGGAACCUUUUGAGCCUCACUUCUUCCACUCAGCGUAAGGCCUCUGAUCCAGCCAGGUCAUUGUGUGUAAUUCACACUGAUUCAUCCUUCUUCUCUUUCUGAGUAAUAUUUCAUUGUUUGGACGUACGACAUUCUGUUUAUCCAUUCACCAGUUGAAGGACAUUUGGGUUCCUUCCAGUGUGGGGUGAUUUCGAAUAAAGCUGCUACAAACAUUUGUGUGCAGGUUUGUGUGUGAACAUUUGUCUUUAUUUCUCUUGGGUAAAUACCUCGGAGCGAGAUUGCCG
rnacentral:lncRNA from 1 species